rnacentral:tRNA from 1 species
CGCUCCGUAGCCAAGCGGUAUGGCGCCUCGCUCAUAACGAGGAGAGCGCAGGUUCGAGUCCUGCCGGAGCGA